UAUUACUAUAUAUAUUUAUUACUAUAUAUAUUUAUUACUAUAUAUAUUUAUUACUAUAUAUAUUUAUUACUAUAUAUAUUUAUAUAUUACUAUAUAUAUAUUACUAUAUAUAUUCUUUUUUUCUAAAUUCUUCUUGGAGAUAUUAUAUCGAAAGGUACAAUAUCAAAAAGUACAACAUUGGAAGUUACAAUAUUAGAAGAUACAUCUAUUAUGAAGAUGAAGAUGAUGAAGAUACAUCUAUUAGAAGAUACAUCUAUUAUGAAGAUGAUUGAUGAAGAAGAACUGGAAUGAAUAUGAUCUUGGCGUCCUGUUUAUUGAAGCAUAAAUCGGUUUUCUUCUACUCUUAGCUAAUGUGCGUUAUCCUUCAAAAAGGUAAUUCAAAUUAGGAUAAGAAGAUGAUGUGUACAUAUAUUUAUAUAUUGUGCUUGCAGGAAACUAUGGAGGAACCCACUAUGCUGUACAUCAUAAUUUAAGAUACUUUAAGUAACUUAAAAAUCUGACUUCUAAUCUGAAUAUUACGAAUUAGUACCAAUGUUGAUGAACCUUUUAACAUGAGUUUAAACUCUCUUUACACAAAGACUUAAACUCAAAUUAAGGUUUAAUUGACAUUGAUAGAGACGGACAUGUGUAUAUCGUGUAUUGAUUGAAAGAAUCAAGGGAUAGGAAAAAUUAUAUUUCUAAAUGUAUGACAUAACUAGAAGACAUAGGUAAUAGCUGAUACAUUUAUAACUACAAUAUAAAGAUGUAUGUAAGAUAUAUAAAGACUGAGCAAUAUGGAGAUGUUAACACACUAGCAAGUCUGUAUAUUCUGAUGAGAUGUAACAGGUACAAGUUUAUAAUUAUUUAAUGAUGUAUAAGAUUUAUUUUUUAUUGCAGCAUAUUUAUGAUCUCUCUAGCCAUUCAGCCUUUGACACAAGUCAACUUAAGCCUUUGCCUGUCAACAUAAAUUGUGACAUAGUCCGCAAGAUUUACUUGCACCAAAAGAAAAAUAUAUAAUUAGUUAUUACACCGUUGGUGGAAUGUCAUUGUCAUUAAAUGGAUAUUUUCUUAUAUUUUCAGCUCAAAAUGUAAGUAAGGAAACAAAAGGAAGAUACAUUACCUAUCAUGACAUGUAAGUAGGAUAAGGCAUAUAGGUGUGACAACAACAAAAAGCCCCUGUAAGAGUUUUCACGAGAAGUGUAGGAUAAAUAAUCAAGAAAUACAACAGCGGAAAAUACGAUAGCAAAAGAGGUACAAUAAUGGAAUACACAAUAAUAUGAUACAACAAUGGAAGAUACAUAAUACAAGAUGCGACAAUAGAAGAAUUAACAAUACAUAUUACAACACUGGAAGAUAGAAAUAUUUUGGAAGGAUCGGCUAGAAGACUUGUCUGGAUUCAAUAUAAUUCCGGCGAAGAUAUAUAUCUUUAUUUAUAAUAGUAAAUUUCUUUAAUCUAUGGAACUAAAAGGAAAUAAUGCAUUAUAUACUGAUCUAAAUUUAUAUGAAACUGCAUAUUAGAUAUUUUCUCACAGAAUAUAUACUGAAGCACACAUUUUUAUCUUGAAAAAACUGCACAACCAUAAUCUGCAAUUAAAACACGAUUGGUUAUUCAGUGUUUAAGGGAAUAAAGGAUAAUGUAUUAGAGAGUAGAAGAAUUUAGAGAAGUAAAAAGGUAUGUAUGUAGAAUGUAGUAAUGUAUUUGACAUUAUUUAACCAAUAUUUUUUAUACAGCGUGUAGAAAAAUUUUCAUUACAGCAAAAUAUCGUGAAAAAUAGAAGUCUUAUAAAAAAAUGUUUCAGACAAUAGUUGUAAGAUUUAAAAAGGUCUAUUUAUUGGCUUUUUCAGAUUUUUUGUUCUAUAUUUGUACUCAUUUCUUCUAUUCUAUUUCUGUAGCUUUUCAUAUUUUAUGCACUUGAAUCUCAAGUAUAUGUCUUUAAGGGAUAAACCUUAGGAUUUGUUUUAUUGUUCCCCGCGCAUACUAUCAUUAACAAACACCCUAUUUAAGAUAUAAGAUGUUAUUAAUAGUAAAUAAUGUUAAAAUAGAUUAACAGGCAUUCUUCCCGAUUACAAUUUAAAUUUAAUCGAUAAUAUUCAUAAAUUUUAUUAAAUUAACAAUAAAAGCACAAAAAAUAUAUUUUUUAUCCAAAUUAUUUACUUUUGUAGCAAAAUUAUAAUAUAAAAAAUUACUGUGUUGGUUACAUCAUAUCAAGACAAUACGAAGGACAUUUAUAUCAAUCAAAGAAGUAGUGUAGUGCUUCAAGUGAUACUCAGGAUCUAGAGAAGUUUCGAGUUCGAGUCUCACCAGUGCUAAAUGUGAAUUCUUAAAUAUAAUAUAGUGUAAAAUCAAGAAAAAUAGUUAAAUUUCAAGAAUUUUCUUCAUAGCAACAUUG